CACGUGAGCCCUUUUUGAAUUUUCACCACUUUCUUACGCUGCCCAAAAUUCUACCUAUACAGUUACCUGAAAUAAUUUCAUUACGAUGUCAGACCACCAAUUAAAAUCCCUAUCUGUUCAACCAUAUUUGCAAUUGUCACAGCUUUCUAAAUAUUUAACCUUAAGUUUUACUUCAUAGAAACCAAGUAUAUCCUGAAUUAUUCGUGUAUCACCUUUGUACAUGCAAAUUUUCAACCCAUGUUUAAAAUAUUCUAAGAAAUAACUUUUCCAAAAAUAACCCCCGGUUUUCUGGAAAUCUUAAAUUAGUAUACCAUGUAGACCGAAUUCUUCUGUCCCUAUAAUGCAUAUAUUUACUUAUUUAC
rnacentral:lncRNA from 1 species